AACAAGGAUUUUCUCAAAUCCACCAAGGUUUGUGUUUGAGCAUAAU
rfam:Arabidopsis thaliana chromosome 3, complete sequence.